GAUGAACGCUGGCGGCGUGCCUAAUACAUGCAAGUCGAGCGAACAGACGAGGAGCUUGCUCCUCUGACGUUAGCGGCGGAUGGGUGAGUAACACGUGGAUAACCUACCUAUAAGACUGGGAUAACUUCGGGAAACCGGAGCUAAUACCGGAUAAUAUAUUGAACCGCAUGGUUCAAUAGUGAAAGACGGUUUUGCUGUCACUUAUAGAUGGAUCCGCGCCGCAUUAGCUAGUUGGUAAGGUAACGGCUUACCAAGGCGACGAUGCGUAGCCGACCUGAGAGGGUGAUCGGCCACACUGGAACUGAGACACGGUCCAGACUCCUACGGGAGGCAGCAGUAGGGAAUCUUCCGCAAUGGGCGAAAGCUUGACGGAGCAACGCCGCGUGAGUGAUGAAGGUCUUCGGAUCGUAAAACUCUGUUAUUAGGGAAGAACAAAUGUGUAAGUAACUAUGCACGUCUUGACGGUACCUAAUCAGAAAGCCACGGCUAACUACGUG
rnacentral:rRNA from 1 species